rnacentral:tRNA from 1 species
GCCCUGGUGGUGUAGUCCGGUACGGCCUGUAGGCAUUAAUAAAGGUGAUAUGGGCUGCGGGACCUAUCAUGAAGCCCUGUCGAGGCUUCGACUCGGGUUCAAAAUGUAGAUGUUAGCAGGUAAGUGUAUGGUGUUGGCGAUGAUAACCUAACACUAACAGUUUAAACCUAACACCUAAUAUGAAAUUCCCGACCAGGGCG